GGCAGCCGCGGUAAUUCCAGCUCCAAUAGCGUAUAUUAAAGUUGUUGCAGUUAAAAAGCUCGUAGUUGAAUUUCGGGGUCAGUAGGUCGGUCGUGCCACUGGUAUGAACUGGUUUUACUGAUUCCUCCCUCUUGAAGAACUGUAAUGCCAUUAAUUUGGUGUUGCAGGGAAUCAGGACUGUUACUUUGAAAAAAAUUAGAGUGUUUAAAGCAGGCUUUAGCUUGAAUACAUUAGCAUGGAAUAAUAAAAUAGGACGUUUGAUCCUAUUUUGUUGGUUUCUAGGAUUGACGUAAUGAUUAAUAGGGAUAGUUGGGGGCAUUAGUAUUCAAUUGUCAGAGGUGAAAUUCUUGGAUUUAUUGAAGACUAACUACUGCGAAAAGCAUUUUGCCAAGGAUGUUUUCAUUAAUCAAGAACGAAAGUUAGGGGAUCGAAGACGAUCAGAUACCGUCGUAGUCUUAACCAUAAAACUAUGCCGACUAGGGAUCGGAUGAUGUUAAUUUUUUAAUGACUCAUUCGGCGC
rnacentral:rRNA from 1 species